rnacentral:rRNA from 1 species
UACGUAGGUGGCAAGCGUUGUCCGGAUUUAUUGGGCUUAAAGGGUGCGUAGGCGGCCUAUUAAGUCAGGGGUGAAAGACGGUAGCUUAACUAUCGCAGUGCCUUUGAUACUGAUGGGCUUGAAUGUACUUGAGGUAGGCGGAAUGUGACAAGUAGCGGUGAAAUGCAUAGAUAUGUCACAGAACACCAAUUGCGAAGGCAGCUUACUAAAGUAUGAUUGACGCUGAGGCACGAAAGCGUGGGGAUCAAACAGG